rnacentral:rRNA from 1 species
CGUAACACGUAUGUAACCUACCCUUAUCAGGGGGAUAGCCUCUCGAAAGAGAGAUUAAGCCCGCAUAACAUUACAUCAUAGCAUUAUGGAGUAAUCAAAUAUUUAUAGGAUAAGGAUGGGCAUGCGGAACAUUAGCUAGUUGGUAAGGUAACGGCUUACCAAGGCUACGAUGUUUAGGGGAUCUGAGAGGAUGACCCCCCACACUGGUACUGAGACACGGACCAG